CAGUCGCCGCGGUAAUACGUAGGGUGCAAGCGUUAAUCGGAAUUACUGGGCGUAAAGCGUGCGCAGGCGGUUUGUUAAGACAGAUGUGAAAUCCCCGGGCUCAACCUGGGAACUGCAUUUGUGACUGGCAAGCUAGAGUAUGGCAGAGGGGGGUAGAAUUCCACGUGUAGCAGUGAAAUGCGUAGAGAUGUGGAGGAAUACCGAUGGCGAAGGCGACUCUCUGGUCUGUAACUGACGCUGAGGAGCGAAAGCGUGGGGAGCGAACAGGAUUAGAUACCCCCGUAGUCCCUGUCUCUUAUAC
rnacentral:rRNA from 1 species